rnacentral:rRNA from 1 species
ACUCCUACGGGAGGCAGCAGUGAGGAAUAUUGGACAAUGGGCGGGAGCCUGAUCCAGCCAUGCCGCGUGCAGGAAGACUGCCCUAUGGGUUGUAAACUGCUUUUAUACGGGAAGAAACACUCCCUCGUGAGGGAGCUUGACGGUACCGUAAGAAUAAGGAUCGGCUAACUCCGUGCCAGCAGCCGCGGUAAUACGGAGGAUCCAAGCGUUAUCCGGAAUCAUUGGGUUUAAAGGGUCCGUAGGUGGAUAAUUAAGUCAGAGGUGAAAUCCUGCAGCUCAACUGUAGAAUUGCCUUUGAUACUGGUUAUCUUGAGUCAUUAUGAAGUGGUUAGAAUAUGUAGUGUAGCGGUGAAAUGCAUAGAUAUUACAUAGAAUACCAAUUGCGAAGGCAGAUCACUAAUAAUGUACUGACACUGAUGGACGAAAGCGUGGGGAGCGAACAGGAUUAGAUACCCUGGUAGGCGUAGU